rnacentral:rRNA from 1 species
UACGAGGGGGGCGAGCGUUGUUCGGAAUUAUUGGGCGUAAAGGGUGCGUAGGCGGUUUGGUAAGUCUUAUGUGAAAUCUACAGGCUCAACUUGUAGUCUGCAUGAGAAACUGCCGGGCUUGAGUAUGGGAGAGGUGAGUGGAAUUCCUGGUGUAGCGGUGAAAUGCGUAGAUAUCAUUUGGAACGCCAACGGCGAAAGCAGGCAGCUGGGGAUGCACCGACGCUGAGACACGAAAGCCAGGGGAGCGAACGGG